rnacentral:rRNA from 1 species
CCUACGGGAGGCAGCAGUGGGGAAUCUUGCGCAAUGGGCGAAAGCCUGACGCAGCCAUGCCGCGUGAAUGAUGAAGGUCUUAGGAUUGUAAAAUUCUUUCACCGGGGACGAUAAUGACGGUACCCGGAGAAGAAGCCCCGGCUAACUUCGUGCCAGCAGCCGCGGUAAUACGAAGGGGGCUAGCGUUGCUCGGAAUUACUGGGCGUAAAGGGAGCGUAGGCGGAUAGUUUAGUCAGAGGUGAAAGCCCAGGGCUCAACCUUGGAAUUGCCUUUGAUACUGGCUAUCUUGAGUACGGAAGAGGUAUGUGGAACUCCGAGUGUAGAGGUGAAAUUCGUAGAUAUUCGGAAGAACACCAGUGGCGAAGGCGACAUACUGGUCCGUUACUGACGCUGAGGCUCGAAAGCGUGGGGAGCAAACAGGAUUAGAUACCCUGGUAGUCCACGCUGUAAACGAUGAGUGCUAGUUGUCGGCAUGCAUGCAUGUCGGUGACGCAGCUACGACAUAAGACACUCCGCCGUCGGGAGGUACGGUCGCGAAGAAGUUAAACGUAACUAAAGUUAAGUUAGUAGCGUUGAGAGNGCGACGGACGACGACGAGGAGGAGGAG